CCUACGGGUGGCUGCAGUGGGGAAUAUUGGACAAUGGGCGAAAGCCUGAUCCAGCCAUGCCGCGUGUGUGAAGAAGGCCUUCGGGUUGUAAAGCACUUUCAGUGGGGAAGAAAGCCUUGGGGCUAAUACCCUCGAGGAAGGACAUCACCCACAGAAGAAGCACCGGCUAACUCCGUGCCAGCAGCCGCGGUAAUACGGAGGGUGCGAGCGUUAAUCGGAAUUACUGGGCGUAAAGCGCGCGUAGGCGGUCUGAUAAGCCGGUUGUGAAAGCCCCGGGCUCAACCUGGGAACGGCAUCCGGAACUGUCAGGCUAGAGUGCAGGAGAGGAAGGUAGAAUUCCCGGUGUAGCGGUGAAAUGCGUAGAGAUCGGGAGGAAUACCAGUGGCGAAGGCGGCCUUCUGGACUGACACUGACGCUGAGGUGCGAAAGCGUGGGUAGCAAACAGGAUUAGAUCCCCCAGUAGUC
rnacentral:rRNA from 1 species